UUCUAGGACUUAUAUUUUGCAGCUUAUGUGGUUGACAUGUUGCCAUUGGAUUAUUAGUGGCUUAUGUUAUGAUUAUUUUCAUGAUGAUAUCUGUUAAUAUAUUUUGGAGUAUUACUUUGGAUAUCAUGCUGCCUUUGGAUUAUUAGUGGUUAGUAUGAUUAUUUUCAUGAUGAUAUCUGUUAAUAUAUUUUGGAGUAUUACUUUGGAUAUCAUGCUGCCUUUGGAUUAUUAGUGGUUAGUAUGAUUAUUUUCAUGAUGAUAUCGGUUAAUAUAUUUUGGAGUAUUACUUUGGAUAUCAUGCUACCUUUGGAUUAUUAGUGGUUAGUAUGAUUAUUUUCAUGAUGAUAUCUGUUAAUAUAUUUUGGAGUAUUACUUUGGAUGUCAUGCUGCCUUUGGAUUAUUAGUGGUUAGUAUGAUUAUUUUCAUGAUGAUACCUGUUAUUAUAUUUUGGAGUAUUAGUUUGGGUAUCAUGCUGCCUUUGGAUUAUUAGUGGUUAGUAUGAUUAUUUUCAUGAUGCUAGUUGAUGUUCUGUUGCUUGGAGUAUUAUUUUCGGAAACGAUGUUUACAUGUGGAUCUUAGGCGAAUAGCUUUAUUCUUGUUAUUGGAGUAGUAGGAGUAUUGUUUUCGGAUUCAUCAUGGCAGUAUUGUUGUGCUACCCUUGGGGUAUUUUGAGAUGAUGAUAUUAUGUUUGGAUUAUUUGUUGGAUGUUGCUAUGAAUUGGAUUAUAGUUUGAUAG
rnacentral:lncRNA from 1 species